UCUUUUGGACACGCUCACCCCCCCUAUGCUCCCACGCACCCUUACUCGGGAGUAAGAGGCCAUAAAGCAAACCGGUGUUUAGUUCCGAAAGAAAGUGCGGGGGCGGGCUGUGCACUCAGCCCGUUUGCAAAUACAAAGUUUCGGGGGUGGCAGAGUUGAAAAAAGCGUAGUGGUAAAGGAAUCGGGGCUACAAACCCCUGCCUGUUCAUCGGGGGCUUUUCCCAAAUGAACUAAUUUGCGAGUCCUGGAAGCGCAACAUAUAAUAUUGCUGCAAUGCGAGCCUAUGCAUCAGCGGUAUUUAAACCCGAAUUCUGCGCGAGGAGUGCAGCGUACGUUGCAAAAGAAAGAAAGAAAGAAAGAAAGAAAGAAAGAAAGAAAGAAAGAAAGAAAGAAAGAAAGAAAGAAAGAAAGAAAGAAAGAAAGGGGCACACUGCCGGGUUGUACCGCUUUGGGUUACAAAUCGAGGAGCAAAUAAGUUUUUAACCCUUUAGCUGUUCUUUAAAUGUUCUGCCUCAUGUAGCAAGAUAGCACGUUGGAAGGAAAGAUCUAAUACAGGCGUCUUUUUCCGAGGUCUCGACUAACCUUCCAAAACGAUCUCACUUCCAGGCUGAAGUGGUAGGAUCCAAGUACCAUCUACCCAGCCCUCCCCCAUGUAUAGGCUGCAUAUUUCAUAGUCUAGUUUUCUAGCCUGAUCUAAACAUUGUUCACAGUUAAGUGACCAACUGGGGGACGGGUAAAACAGUCUGGUACCAUAAACAGUGGGUGGGGAGCGAUUUUUGAAAGCUUGCCUAUGUAAAUAUUCCCCAAUACAAAAGCCC